GUGCCAGCAGCCGCGGUAAUACGGAGAGGGCUAGCGUUAUUCGGAAUUAUUGGGCGUAAAGGGCGCGUAGGCUGGUUAAUAAGUUAAAAGUGAAAUCCCGAGGCUUAACCUUGGAAUUGCUUUUAAAACUAUUAAUCUAGAGAUUGAAAGAGGAUAGAGGAAUUCCUGAUGUAGAGGUAAAAUUCGUAAAUAUUAGGAGGAACACCAGUGGCGAAGGCGUCUAUCUGGUUCAAAUCUGACGCUGAAGCGCGAAGGCGUGGGGAGCAAACAGGAUUAGAUACCCUGGUAGUCCACGCUGUAAACGAUGAAUGUUAAAUAUGGGGAGUUUACUUUCUGUAUUACAGCUAACGCGUUAAACAUUCCGCCUGGGGACUACGGUCGCAAGAUUAAAACUCAAAUGAAUUGACGG
rnacentral:rRNA from 1 species